GAUUUCUGGUACGAUGCGCCUAGCCCGUCCUCGUCAGAGGCACGUGUGCUGGUGUGCGUCUGCCAUCUUUCUAGAGAGCUGCACUAGCCUUCAUUGGUUUGGUGUUAGCCAUCUAGAUCUUUUACUUUGAAAAAAUUAGAGUGUUUAAAGCAGGCUUUCGCUAUGAAUACAUUAGCAUGGAAUAAUAAUUUAGGACUUUGGUCUUAUUUUGUUGGUUUCUAGGACUAAAGUAAUGAUUGAUAGGGAUAGUUGGGGGUGCUAGUAUUCAGCGGCCAGAGGUGAAAUUCUUGGAUUCGCUGAAGACUAACUUAUGCGAAAGCAUU
rnacentral:rRNA from 1 species